rnacentral:rRNA from 1 species
GAUGAACGCUGACAGAAUGCUUAACACAUGCAAGUCAACUUGAACUUCGGUUUGGGUGGCGGACGGGUGAGUAACGCGUAAAGAACUUGCCUCACAGAUAGGGACAACAUUUGGAAACGAAUGCUAAUACCUGAUAUUAUGAUUUUAGGGCAUCCUAGGAUUAUGAAAGCUAUAUGCGCUGUGAGAGAGCUUUGCGUCCCAUUAGCUAGUUGGAGAGGUAACGGCUCACCAAGGCGAUGAUGGGUAGCCGGCCUGAGAGGGUGAUCGGCCACAAGGGGACUGAGACACGGCCCUUACUCCUACGGGAGGCAGCAGUGGGGAAUAUUGGACAAUGGACCAAGAGUCUGAUCCAGCAAUUCUGUGUGCACGAUGAAGUUUUUCGGAAUGUAAAGUGCUUUCUGUUGGGAAGAAAAAAAUGACGGUACCAACAGAAGAAGUGACGGCUAAAUACUUGCCAUCAGCCGCGGUAAUACGUAUGUCACAAGUGUUAUCCGAAUUUAUUGGGUCUAU